AACGUACGCUGGCGGCACGCCUAAUACAUGCAAGUCGAACGAAGUAGCAAUACUUAGUGGCAGACGGGUGAGUAACAUGUGGGUAUCUUCCCUUUGGUGAGGAAUAACACGAGGAAACUUGUGCUAAUACCUCAUAAGUCUUUACGGAGAAAGCUUUAUGCGCCAAUGGAUGAGCCCGCACUUGAUUAGUUUGUUGGUGAGGUAAUGGCUCACCAAGACUUUGAUCAAUAGCUGAUUUGAGAGGAUGAUCAGCCACAUUGGGACUGAGACACGGCCCAAACUCCUACGGGAGGCAGCAGUAGGGAAUCUUGCACAAUGGGGGAAACCCUGAUGCAGCGAUGCCGCGUGAGUGAAGAAGGCCUUUGGGUUGUAAAGCUCUUUCGUCGGGGAAGAAAAUGACUGUACCCGAAUAAGAAGGUCCGGCUAACUUCGUG
rnacentral:rRNA from 1 species